ACUCCUACGGGAGGCAGCAGUGAGGAAUAUUGGACAAUGGGUGGAAGCCUGAUCCAGCCAUCCCGCGUGCAGGAAGACGGCCCUAUGGGUUGUAAACUGCUUUUAUCUGGGGAUAAACCUACUUACGUGUAAGUAGCUGAAGGUACCAGAAGAAUAAGCACCGGCUAACUCCGUGCCAGCAGCCGCGGUAAUACGGAGGGUGCAAGCGUUAUCCGGAUUUAUUGGGUUUAAAGGGUCCGUAGGCGGACUGAUAAGUCAGUGGUGAAAUCCGACAGCUUAACUGUCGAACUGCCAUUGAUACUGGUAGUCUUGAGUAAGGUUGAAGUGGCUGGAAUAAGUAGUGUAGCGGUGAAAUGCAUAGAUAUUACUUAGAACACCAAUUGCGAAGGCAGGUCACUAAGUCUUAACUGACGCUGAUGGACGAAAGCGUGGGGAGCGAACAGGAUUAGAAACCCUUGUAGUCCCAUGAU
rnacentral:rRNA from 1 species